ACACGAUGGAUAACCUACCCUUAGGACCGGAAUAACCCCGGGAAACUGGGGAUAAUACCGGAUAAGCCAUAGACGCUGGAAUGCCCUAUGGUUCAAAGCUCCGGCGCCUAAGGAUGGAUCUGCGGUCUAUCAGGUUGUAGUGGGUGUAACGUACCUACUAGCCGACGACGGAUACGGGUUGUGAGAGCAAGAGCCCGGAGAUGGAUUCUGAGACACGAAUCCAGGCCCUACGGGGUGCAGCAGGCGCGAACACUUUACAAUGCGGGAAACCGCGAUAAGGGAACCCCGAGUGCCAGCAUCAAAUGUUGGCUGUCCGGAUGAUUAAAAAUCAUUUGUUAGCAAGGGCCGGGCAAGACCGGUGCCAGCCGCCGCGGUAACACCGGCGGCCCGAGUGGUAGCCGUUUUUAUUGGGUCUAAAGGGUCCGUAGCCGGCUUGAUAAGUCCUUUGGGAAAUCUGGCAGCUUAACUGUCAGGCUUCUAAGGGAUACUGUCAGGCUUGGGACCGGAAGAGGUAAGGGGUACUCCAGGGGUAGGAGUGAAAUCUUGUAAUCCCUGGGGGACCAUCUGUGGCGAAGGCGCCUUACCAGAACGGGUCCGACGGUGAGGGACGAAAGCUAGGGGACCAACCGGAUUAGAUACCCGGGUAGUCCUAGCUGUAAACGAUGCUCGCUAGGUGUCAGACACGGUGCGACCGUGUUUGGUGCCGCAGGA
rnacentral:rRNA from 1 species